GAUAACAAAAGAUACCAGAAAGAAAAUAACCACAACAAAUAAGUGAAAGGACAAUAACACAAAACUAUGCAAAACAACAAUGUGAAUACAACAAAGACCGCUAACAAACCUAAUCUAAAUUCUAUCCGACUACCCAGUGCAAAGAGGGAAUAAAUAUCGACUACCCCUUAGCCUACCACCCUAAUGCUCGACCUCCAUAUGUUCCUAUCAAGAGCCAUGUCCUCAAAAAUCUGAAGCCGCGUCAUAUCCUGCCUGAUCACCUCGUCAUAUACAUCAAUAUAACAAGUUCGAAAUUACUAAAUAAGUAAGAAACGGUCAUUAGCAUAUACCACCAUUUUAAAUGUGAAUUGAUGUUUUAUGCAUUGAAGAUUUUAAAAAUGUGUAGACAAUCGAUCACUUAUUAUGUACAUAAUGUAAUUACAGAUAAAUCUCUUGAUAAAUAUUAAUUGAUAAUCUGGUAAAAUUAACAACUAACUUAUCAUCACAGGUUAAAAUUCAUUAAAAGUGCAAGAAAAUCUUUGCAGUGUCGGUGCAUAUAACUUAAAUCCUUUAAAUAUGGCUCUCUUGCCCUCGAACUGUUCAAAUUUUAGAAUUUUACUUAAAUACAUCGACAAUAUAAAAAAAUUCACUAUGGGUCAGUCACCUUUACCGUAUACAAUGAAACCUGACUCCUUUUCAGAAUUACAGAUCCCACUUUUUAUAGAGAAUUACAUGUAAAUAUUUUGAGUGACCUAAUAAGUAAAAAAUGCCUUUAAAAAAGAACAAGAAGGUUCAAGAUUUAUGGGACAAAGCUCCAACAACAAUUUUAUUUGAUUAAUCUCGUCAAAUUAAUUUAUCAACUUUCCUCCUUUCUCCUUUUUUUUUUUCAAACACAACUUUGAAUGUUUGGUACAGGUAAAAAAAUUAUUACUGGAGCAAUAUUUUCAGGGAAAACUAAGCCCAAUGCAGAAAAAGUUUUGAAUGAAAUCACUAUAAACUUCUUUGUUCGUUCACUUUAGGAUGAUAAAAACACCAAACCACGACAAUAGCCUAAAUUAAAUUGUCUAGACGUCUGGUCGUACAAAUUGCAUAGUAUCAAUAAAUAAACAUUUCAAGUAUUACUCAAAUAUAGUAGAGUAGAGUAUAGUAUAUUAGAACAAAAAUUAAAAUAAAGUCUCGAUAUGAUCAACCUCUUGACCUAAAAUAGUAAUAUUUCUUGAUUAACUCGGUUAAUCAGGGAAAAAUUGUGUGCCCAUGAGUGGCCAUAGAAAGUCCAAGGCCUGUGAUAUUUUUAACAUCAGCUUGGCCUCCAUUAGAUGAAGAAGCUCCAAGAAAAAAUGCAGGAGUAUUUGAUGACUCAAUAAAUAUUUUCUGCAUUUGCACGUCCACAAUUAUUGCCCGCUCAGGCAUAGCCAAAGCCUCUACUCGUCGCCUUAUCAACGAUGUCGUUUCCUUCUCACCGGGGAAAGAUUCGUCCAUUAAAUAAAACAUUGGGCAGACAGGGACCUCUACUGAUGGAGUGGCCGUCUGACGACCAGGCUCGAUUAAAAUCGGAGCAUGGGAAGAAGUAUUUCGCGCAGACUCAACCAACAUAAACUGCAUCCCCGUCGAAGCAACCGCCUGGCGAAAUGCGGGGAUAGGAGCCUUCGCCUUCUUAGAAGUUCUCCAACUUGGCGUCAAUAGAAAACCAUAAGCGGCAGAAAGAAGCACACCACAACAAGAGCGAAGUAGUUAUGAGAGAAAAACCCGACUUACCGGUCGAAGGCUUGAGCCCGAGCCUCUUAUUGAAGGACGCCUAGUCAUGGAUCCCUACGGUGUGAGGCAAGAUGCGAGUCACCCAGUCACUGAUAUCGGCGACUAAAGAAGGGGGGUACUUCUCAGCUACAAAAAGAAAAACAACGUAACAAGUCACGAAACACGAAGAUGAGGGAAAGAACGUACUCCAAAUGAUGACACUUACGAGAAAAAUUCCAUUGUUUAGGAAAUUCGCUAGGGUUCGCCACUACAUGCUCGGUUUUGAUGAAGAAGUAAUGAGCCAAAAACCAAUGGUUCAUCCUAUCAUCCAUCCCCGCCACCAACCCUUUUUUUCCGUGGUGGCGGAUGUGAAUCAUCGUGCCCUUAUGGAAGCUCAAUCCGAAGAGGUGCAGUAGAUAACAGAUAGAGACUUCGCAGCCGGUCAGCCCUACGAACUUCGCCAACAUAAGAAAAAUCUUGUAAAGGUAGGGAGAAAGUUGUGUCUGGCAGAUGUUGUAGUAGCGACAGAACUCCUCCGCCAACGGAGGAAGAGGAAGAGAAUUACCUAUCGGGAAUGGGUAGGCAUAAAAUGCACAAUACCCAGGCCGGUGAACUUGAACCACAUCAUCUCCCGUCGGGACCAAGUCGACGUGGGCAGGAAUGUCAUAUUUGGUCCUAAGGGCAAAAAGGUGCUUCGCCUCCAUCUCAGGUUUCACAGACUCCGGCUAAAGGGCGAGUUCCUUAGAGAAGUCGGACCUAGAAGUAGGGUUACGAGGAAUGAUCUCUUCCAUAGUGGGGAAGCUCUCAUCCUCUACAACCGUUGAUUCUCCGCCACCAGAAGGCAUGGCCACCGAUAAUGGAGUAGGGUCAGAGAUCAUCUCAGCAUUGGAGGUCACAUUAGCCAUUCUUUGCUAAUAUGUAUGCGGUGGAGUAGAAAAAGAAAAAAGGAUAAAAACAAUUGCAAUUUCAUGGUGCAAGAACGCAAGAAGAAGAAAGAGAAGCGAGUGCAAAGUUGAAGAAUCAGAGAAUGCAAAAUUUCCAUUGAGAAGUGUUCCCCUCUUUAUUUAUAGACCUCAGAGGUGUUCGGAUUGAUGCGGGCAACUGUCAGUGGCCCUAGAAUCGAAAGGACAGGGACUCGAGGAACGAGGGAACGCAUCGGGAAGAUGCACAAUGAUGGCGCAUGCGACGUGACGUCAUCAUGCACCAACCCCAUGACCCACGAAUCUCAAAGAGAUACAUUAUUAUUUCUGCUACGGACGCCUCUACUCGAUCACCACGCUAAAAUAUUUUUUCACAAAUCGUCGACUGAAAAGGUCCGCUCAUCGGGGCCGACCAGAGGCGACCUCGACAAGUGAAGGGACUAACUAGACUAACUGUAUGGGUCAAAAUCUGGCUUAGGAAGUCAGGCGUGGGAAGAUCGUUAAGUGAGAAGACUGUAUUUCGAUUUGGGCGGAUAGGCCGAGGUCGACCAAAGCCCAACAACGAUCAGUUGCUGAGUAAGCCGUAAAGGCCGAGGUCGAGUAGCGAAGAGUAGGAAUAACGGCUAGUGUAGUCUUGGAACUAGUGACAGGAAUAUUCUUCUGAAUAUUCUCCUUGUUGUACUUUUUAGAGUUUUAGAGAAUAUCCCAUAUAAAUAGAAAGAGAGGGAAAAGAAAAAGGACACGUGAGAUUGAUUCUCAAAAUACUGUUGUAAGAAGUUGACUCUUGAGAGAGAAUAAAGUAUACCAUUCCAUAGUGAUUGAUUUUAUCGAUUAUUCUUUCUUUCCACUCACACGAUCCAAGAAAGCAUUGUUCAUAUUCUUAUUCACUGCCAUAUUCCGUUGUCAGGAGGAAGAAUCUUCCACAUCGGCCGAUAUUUGGGCGAAAUGUUCUUCCUAUUUACAUUUUUUGCCACUUUCUAUAUUUAUUGUUCAUCAUUCAUUCUUCAUUUAUUCCCCAAGGCGUGCAUUUAAUGAUUUAGUAUCCGAUUAUGGGCACUAAAUAAACGGUAUCACUUCAACACUUGGCUAGAUCUAAGAGUUAUUAUGCUUGACUAUGAUUCACCUUUCACCUCAGUUAUCUUUUAAUUAGUUUAACAAAUAGUACUAUACUUUUUGGUCAAACAAGGUGGCUCCACCACUAUUUACCUGUUGAGAUGACUUAUUGAUCACGGUCUUACUACGUACACUAGUGGUGGCAAAAUGAAUCAAAAAAAAAAUAGUCAACCACCCAUAUUAUCAACUAAAAAAUGGAUUGGAUAAUGAACUUUUUAUAAAUGAGUCAAAUAUAGAUAAGAACCAUAUUAUCUAUUUAGAAAAUGGAUAACCAAUAGGUUUAACUAUUACAUUUGUAAGACCUUAACUUGCGGUUUCUCAAGUUUGAGAAAAACUAGAAAUUCUCCCAAAAGCGAUCAUAUUUAUGAAGCCAUGGAUAAUAUGGUUAACUCGUUUUUUAUCAGUAAUAAAUAUGGGUCGGAUCGAAUAAUUUAUCAAUUUUUUAUUAUCCGUUUUCGACACGUCUCAUAUUCGACUAGACCCGCCCGUUUGCCACCUCUAGCGUACACCACCCAUCCUUGCACAAGCUUCUCAGUAUGAACCUUUGAAAAUCUGGUCUGGAGUGCGCCAAGGGAGCCUCCUAUGUCCUAUGCUUGGGUAGAAGUUCUCAUAUAUAGGGUUUGGGACCUUUGGGUUUGGGGCACAGUCCUCCUAUGUAUUUUUUUUGUUUGUUUGGGUAUUUUGCUUUCAUAUCUAAUAAAAUCUAAAAAAUUCCCACUUACGAGAAAUUCCAAUGAUGACGCGUGCCACUCAAGUACUAUAAAUAUUUUUUCUUAUUCUCUUUUCCUAUUAAAGAUUCUAGUUUUCCAAUUAGUAACAAAAAUUAUGGGAAGUAUAUAUAUAUAUUUAAAGAUUCUACUUUUCCAAUAAGUAACAAAGUUAUGGAAAAGUUUCCGUUUGUUUUUUAAAUUUUCCUAGAACAGCGUUCCAUAUUACAGUACUUUCCAAAUUAAAACCCAAUCAUGUUCCUACAACUACAACUAAAACGAGUAACUAAAUCUUUUUCGAUUCUUGAAUGGUAAAAAAUCUUUAAUUUACAGACCAAACAACUCUUCUAUAAAUUAUUAUACAUCAAUAACUUCUCAAUUUACGAAGCCAAUUAAUCUUCUUCUUUCUUCUACCAUGAACACUACUAUUAACACCAUGAAGAAAACUCAAGGACGGAGAAAAAUGGCAAUCAAGCCAAUAGACAACCAAAACAGCAGGCAUGUUACUUUCUCCAAACGGCGUUUAGGUCUUUUCUAAAAAGCUAGCGAACUUUGCAUCUUAAGCGGUGCAGAAAUCGCUAUUCUUGUUCAAUCUUUAAAACGACAACGUCUUUUCGCUUUCGGUCAUCCCAAUGCUGAUGUCGUUAUCGACCGUUAUCUCACCGGAAAAUCCUCCUCCUCCUCAUCCACCGUCGAUCAACUCAAUGUGCAACAGAACAAUCAAUACUAAUCUCAGAUUUGUAGAGAAUUGGAGGCUGAGAANNNNNNNNNNNNNNNNNNNNNNNNNNNNNNNNNNNNNNNNNNNNNNNNNNNNNNNNNNNNNNNNNNNNNNNNNNNNNNNNNNNNNNNNNNNNNNNNNNNNNNNNNNNNNNNNNNNNNNNNNNNNNNNNNNNNNNNNNNNNNNNNNACUAUCUUCUUCCUUGUGUCAAUGAACAAGUUAAUUGUUCUAGUGACAAAACUAAUUAGUAUUACUACAUUAAUUUAAAAAAAUAGUGAUGAAAGAAUUCGGAGUUGCAGAAUCAUUUACAAAAAAUUGCAUUUUGAACAAUUGUAUUUCUAGUAGGUAUUACUAGGUUUAUGCCAAUCUCAAUUUUAUUGUGCUUGCAACAAGUUAUAAGUGUGGAGCAUUAAUUUCCCUGUAUUAAUUUAAAUGACUGAUGUUAAAUUUUCUUCUUUUUUAUUUUCUUGUUUCUAACAAUUUGAGUUGUUUCAAUAAUGACACUUGUUGGCUACUUUGUAUUAUUUAUGCAAACACUAAUAUAAACAAUAGACUCAUACUGUCAAAGCCAAGGUGAAGAAGGUGAGAAAGAUUGCCAAAAGGGAGAAGAAGCUCAUUAGACCUGGAUAAAAGCUAAAACUAAACUGGUCAUGUUGCACUCUUUCUUUAUGUUUUAAAACCUCCAUUGAAUCCUUUAAUUGUUCAAGUUCAUGCAAGCCAAGUUUACUUAUUGGAGCUUCCCACCAAUAUUGACUUUGACUAUUUUUCCUCAUUUGAUCAAAUGAUUCUCCUCUUUUCUUCUCAACUUCAAGCUCAGCAAGAGUAUGAGUUAACUACAAAUUGAGCUCACGAACACUAGCAUUUCGAUGAGCCUCGACAAGAUGAAGUGAUAUUGCUUCCAGGAGACUCUCGGCUCAACAGGAAAGGUAAUAAUAUCAGAAAAGAAAUAAGAGAAAAGACCUGUGACAACAAAAGAUACCAGAAAGAAAAUAACCACAGCAAAUAAGUGAAAGGACAAUAACACAAAACUAUACAAAACAACAAUGUGAAUACAACAAAGACCGCUAACAAACCUAAACGAAAUUCUAUCCGACUACCCAGUACAAAGAGGGAAUAAAUCUCGACUACCUCCUAGCCUACCACCCUUAUGCUCGACCUCCAUAUGUUCCUAUCAAGAGCCAUGUCCUCGGAAAUCUGAAGCCGCGCCAUGUCCUACCUGAUCACCUCGCCAUAUUCAUCAAUAUAACUAGUUCGAAAUUGUGUAAUAAAACAAACUUUAACAACCAAAGUAUAAUCAACUAAAGUCUCAACAUCGUCUCUAACUUUUGGUACUGGACGGUUGUCCGGAGCCAGAGUAAGUUUCUCAAACCAAUAAGUUAAGCUUCUUACUCUUGUACAAGUCUGUCUCUUAUAUAGAGGUACGAGCUUUGGUAAAUCCAGUUAAGAUUCUCUACAAAAGAACAAAAUCCAUGUGCAGAAAUAGAACUUACUUGCAGUAGGAACAUAUAUCUUGGCAUUAUAAAAUCAUCUGGAGAAUGGCAAAUCCUUCCAAGUUCCAACUUGAUGACCUCCAGCAACUACUGAGCAUAAAAGAGAUUGCGAUCAACAUUAAUGAUGAGGAAUCCAUCCCAUAUUAUCCAAAGAAGACAGAAAGGAACAGUUUUAGGCAUGCCCACAUUGAUUUAAAUAGGAUCUAGAACACUUGCCUCUUCAUGUUCAGCGGUGUGUGCCAAUGGAAGUAUCACUUGACCCCCAAAAUUAUAGACUCGGGCCCCAGGUAGGCUGCAAGGACCAACUUUAACAGCUGCAUCUGCGUAGGCAUCAAUAUCGUUGUCUACCCAUUCUGAUCGAUGCUCGCACAGAAACCUGAGAAGUACUGCAGGAGUCACACUCUGAACAACAGAAACAGGAAGAUGUCAAAAAGCAUGAUAAGAAUAUGGUCAAGUCAAGAUAAAUGACAUGAGGAGGAGGAAUUGAUGAAUUGCAGCUGCGUAGAAACCAGUGAUGUUGUUAGGCAUAUUUGUCAGACAAUCAGCUAGGAUCUUCAAACGAUCCCCAAAGACAUUAAUCCCACCUCGUACAUAUACCCGGAGUAACAAACCAACAGCAUUCAAGUACACCUGCAUGUUUCCAAGAACACUGUUAACUCUCAUCAAGUAUUAUUGAAAGAAGUUGUUUGACUACAAACCACUAACUUUCUUUGGCUUGAGAGGGAUCGCUUCUUUCCAACUCUUUCCAGAUGUUCUGGUCAUACACGUCUCUUACUUUUUCCAUCGGAGAAUGACCUUCCAAAUAACGAAGCGCUACAUGCCACCAAUUGUGUGUACACCUGCAAAUAUCCUAGUGGUUAGCUUUUAAAAAUUACAAAAUUCAAAGCUGAACUAGUAUCGGAUUCUGCGGAUACAUAAAAGAUGACAAAGAACUCCAGGUUCUUGAGCACUUCUCCAUAAAUUGUACUGCUUCUUUAAAACGACACUUGUAGUGAUAAACAUGACAAAGCUGCAUGCAGAUUGUCAUGAGAUAAGACAAAAAUAUUAUACAAGAAUAGCACUGAAUGAAUAAAUGAAUUUCCUCCAGCUGCCAACAUAUUUGCAUGUAUUUUGACGACUUCUUUAGCCAAUCCAACUAAUAUUAGCAUUUUUCACUAGCAGAUAUCAGCUAGAAAGGAAAGAGUAACUCACAGCAUGAUGUGUCCAGGCAUCUUCACUAUCAAUCUCAAAGCCUUUGUUUGCAGCUUCUUCUGCAUCUGUGUAUCGACCAAGUUCUAAUAGCGCAAAAGCGAGCAUGCCAUAAAUGUAUCUUUCUUGUUUAUUGUUACUCUGGCUCUGAACAACAGAAACAGGAAGAUGUCAAAAAGCAAGAUAAGAAUAUGGUCAAGUCAAGAUAAAGUACAUAAGGAGGAGGAGGAACUGUGUCAAGAAAUUGAUUGGGAAAAGCAAGCAACAUCACUGGUAAUAGUAGAUCGUGUCCUCCAUUUUACCAUUUCACGUUUUUCAAGCAAUUAAAUAUCUACAAUUUGGGCGGUCUAUCUUGCACUAUACAAGAGGACCAUAUCAGCAUAAGUCAUUGUGAAACCAAUUUUAAUUUUCUAAGGGGUUAAAAGCACCAAAAUGUACUUAUCUACAUUGCAUAGGAGAACAACUAAAUCAGUUUUAGUAAAGCCAAGCCUAUCUAGAUUCUAGAUACACUAUCAACUUACCAAAAUGGCCUUUUCUUUUAAUUUGGUUGUCUGAGACUCUAAGUUAUAUCCCUGCCAUGAGAAUUAGUCUUUCCAUAGCCCAAAUACAGAAAUUGAGAAGAGAAGAGAAAGACCUAGUGAUCCAAUUUACUUGACUAUUAUCAUCAAUAUUGUUUACCAUAAACUCAUCCGGAUUAUAUGGCAUCUCGCAUUUGCAAUACCUUCAGAGCAACAAAAAAGGAUUAUGAGCAUAAGAACUACAAGUGGCCAAGUGAAUUAGUCCCUACCAAAUAUGCAAAGACGGUAUAUCAAUCCACUACUUGUACUUUCAGGUAAAACAUCUGAAUGAAAUAGAAAUUUAAAAGCAAAUUCCAAGCAAAACUAAAUUUAAAAAAAAUAGGUGAAGAGCAAUUAGAAUAAAUUGAAAAAGAUAGCAUAUGUUGAUUUCAUAUCUAGCUACUUGGAACUCUAUUUUACAGCAUCAAUAGAUAAUACCACCAACGUUGAUGUUCCUAAAAUGAACUUGCAUUCCAAUCAUGUGACUUUUACCCUUGAACUAUUCAAAAUAGGUCAUUUUUAUUCUCCGUUAAAUUUUAGUAGCAAUUAUACCCCUGUCGCCUAAUUUUUAGCCUACAUCUACCCUUACUAUUAACGGCCCUCCACAUCAGAUGCCACACAUAUUUAACUAUAAUAUAAUUAAUGACAUGGCUAUACACCACAGAAAAAGCUCUCCCUUGAUCAACGAUCUUCUUCUACCUUUUAAAAAACCUUAAUUCAUAUCUUCGAGACCCAUUCCAUAAAAAACCCCAUCAAAACUGGACAAAAAUUGCAGUAAAACUGCUUCGUAGCUAGACCAAAACUGCAGCAAAUAUUGAUCACAAAAUUGCAGCAAAACUGCAAAAGGGAAAAAAAAAAGAUUGCAGCAAAACUGCAAUUAGACCAAAACUGGAGAAAAGCGUGGAGCUUUAAUAUCUUCUGAGCCAUUUAUUCUUUUGAACUGAAAACUUGUGCCUUGCUAUAAACCGAGGGAAGUAAUUAAGCUCUGCAAAAUAAUUUAAUUUCUAUGCUCGACCCAAUUGACAGUCUUAGGGUUAUUUGAAUAUCAUCAAGCCUUCUGUAUUAACUUCAUUAAGUGUUUAAACUCUUUCAAUCAAACGUCUAACCACCUGUGUAAAUAUUCAUUCUAGUAUUACAUAUUUAUCUUCUGCUGACUUUUAAAUAGAAAGUUAACAGUAUAACUUUUUUAGAAAUUUACAGUACAAAAUGAUGGACUUGAGGAGCAUACAUUUCAAAAGAUACAUGUCCCAAAAAGAAUAUGGUACUUAGUUUAGUAGUUACUUCACAUAAAUGAACAAGCGAUAACGGCAAAAACAACCAAAUAGUUAGCUACGAACUACAAAACAGCCACCAUAAGUAAUGCUGCAAAAUUUGGCAAAGGACAUCUAACGGUGUGGGAGCCUUAUUCUGGAAGCUACAAGAACUAAUUUGUAAAAGAUUCAUGCAUAUAUACUAUUAUAAUAAAUACUGGUGGCAAUACGGUGAGCUUCACAUUCAAAUGGAAACUGAGGAUAAUAUUGCUUUAGCGUGCCUACUUGUUGAUAUUAAGGAAGUGUUGAAGCAGAGUAGCAGGUUGCUGCUUAUAAAUUUAGAAACUUGGUAUCUAAGCCCAUAUAAAAAUUAAUGAAGAAGAAACCGAUAUGGUUAGUCAAUGACGCCUUAUCAGUUAUCAUUCCAUGGAUAAAAAAGAAGCACUUUUACUAUACCGAUACUAACUCUAUAGUUUUAGUUCUUUGCCAAAAAAGGAAGCCUCUUCAUCUGAAGUAGGCUCCUGGCUCAUGAAAUCCAUGAUAGGUUCUCUAAGUCUAUAAAUACUUUAAUUUGCUGGGUCGAUCUAGAUCACUAAGAAGAAAUCUUCUAGCAUGGUGCAUAUCCAAGACUUUAUGAGCAAAGGAUAUUUAUCAUAGUCCUAGACCAGGCAAUUAUAAUAUACACAUACAUGAACUUGUGCAAAAGUAUUUUUUUCUAUCAAAGAGAUCCACUCAAAAGGUUGGUAAUUUCUUCACAUAUAGUCAGAAGAUCCACCAAAAUUUGAAUGUGUAUUUAAAGGGAAGAAUUAUGUUUACUUGCUAUUGUUAACAUGAUCUGAAUAAGCAUGGUACAUACGCAUCAUUGAUAAACCUUUUAAAGUUCAAAACUUUACUUUUUCGUCAAGCUUUUAUAGACCCUCUAGCUUAUCAGCGGGAAACUGGAAGAAACAUUCCACUAUAUUUUAAAAUUAUUCAUUCAAGGAUAAAAUAUCGAUAUAUUUUUAUCUAUCCUUAAAGAUUACAACAAUAGGAACUACUCCAUAAUUCCAAAUAAGAAAUAAAGAAAUAAUUAAUCAUAAGAAUAUUUUACUUUAAGUUGACCAAAAAAAGUCAUUUUAUGAAGAUCUAAUUGCUCACCUUUUGGUAAAAAGUGUCUAAUUAUGUCAUGCAAACGAUCAAAUACUCGCAAUUUUGCCAAACAUCGGAUCACAUGAACUAUCUUAGCUUGCACUCGUUCUCUUCAAGUCAACCUCAGUUAAAUUCAAGAAAAUUUAACCUUAACAAUGUUGGUAUUUUAAGAUCUGAAGUAUGAUAAAGACUAAAGUUUUGGGGGAAGGAAAAGAUGAUAUAUAGGGGAAUAAAUAAAAAGGACGCGUGCUUGUUGCUUCUAAAACCGGUAUAUGAUCAAAAGAUAUGAAAGUUCUACAGUUAUAGCAAAAUAUUCAUUAUUGACAAAUGAGUAACUCUAAUACAGCAACAUUUAUACCCCGUUUUGAAAAAUGCACACAGAUUGUUGACCAAUUGGAGCAGUUCAACUUGGAAUCCUCAAAAUUUGAAGUUCCCAGGCUUUUUGUAUUUUCGUUUAAAUCUUGGAUCCGUCUCGGCUUGAAAGCAAAAGAAAAACCAAAAAUAUAUAUAUGCCAACCUCGAUAAUUACUCUGGAGGGAGAGAGAAACAACAAGUUGUUGUUAAGAAUACCGAGAGAACAACGUAAUAAAAUUAGAAAAGGAAAAAGACAUCGUUAAGGAAACAACAAUGAACCAAAAGAGCGGAAAAGGGGCAAAAACCAAACAGAUUCAACAAAGGUAGACCAAAAAGUAGAAAGACUGAAAAUAAUAGAAAGAAAUUUGAGCAAAAAUUAAAUGGAAAACAUACCCUGAUGUGAAGAUGAGGAGAAGAGCAGCUGCUUGUGCGUCUGUUCUUUUCAUUUUUCAGUUAGAGAUGAGCAUGAAAAAUCGGAUCCUUCUAGAAUUUCUAUUUAACAAUUAAUGACGCAAUUACUGUUUUGCCCUUAAAAGAAGCUUGAUUUGCAAAGAUACCAUUGAUCGACCAUCUUCUCUCUUCUAUAUAAAUAAAUAAUAAUAAUAAUUUAAAGAUUCUACUUUUCCAAUAAGUAACAAAGUUAUGGAAAAGUUUCCUAAAAUAGCUUUCCAUAUUACGGUACUUUUCAAAUUAAAACCCAAUCCCUUUCCUACAACUACAACUAAAACGAGUAAUUAAAUCUUUUCAGAUUCUCGAAUGGUAAAAAAUCUUUGAUUUACAUACCAAGCAACUCUUCUAUAAAUUAUUAUACAUCAACAAGUUCUUAAUUUACGAAGCCAAUUAAUCUUCUUCUUUCUUCUACCAUGAACACUACUAUUAACACCAUGAAGAAAACUCAAGGGCGGAGAAAAAUUGCAAUCAAGCCAAUAGACAAUCAAAACAGCAGGCAUGUUACUUUCUCCAAACGGCGUUUAGGUCUUUUCAAAAAAGCUAGCGAACUUUGCAUCUUAAGUGGUGCAGAAAUCGCUAUUCUUGUUCAAUCUUUAAAACGACAACGUCUUUUCGCUUUCGGUCAUCCCAAUGCUGACGCCGUUAUCGACCGUUAUCUCACUGGAAAAUCCUCCUCCUCCUCCUCAUCCACCGUCGAUCAACUCAAUGUGCAACAGAACAAUCAAUACUAUUCUCAGAUUUGUAGAGAAUUGGAGGCUGAGAAGAAAAAAAAGGAGAUUAUUGAAAAUUCAAAGAUUGUGAAUAAUAAUAAUAAUGAGGGAUUUUGGUGGAAUGAAUCAAUUGAUGAUAUGGGAAUUGAGGAACUUGAAGAAUUUAUGGGUGCAUUGGAGGAAUUGAAGAAGAAAAUAACAAUGAGAGCUGAUGAAUUGAGUAUGAUUAAUGGUUCUUCAGUAGUGCCAACUACUUCAACUUUGAAUAAUAAUAUUGCUAGAUUUGGGGCUGAAGACCAAUUCUUGAAUCAGGCCGCUAUCGACUAUUGUUCUUCAAUUGUUCCUUACCAAUUCAAUCACCCAGGAGGUGGCCAAUUCUGAAGCAAUUAUUUUCAUAUUUAAAGCUUGAUUAGUUGAGUAUUUUAAUAAAGAAAUAGCAUGUCGUGAUCUUUUAUAUAUAGAAAAUUUGAGAAGCUGUUGUUUUUGUACUAAUAAUCUCUNNNNNNNNNNNNNNNNNNNNNNNNNNNNNNNNNNNNNNNNNAUCUCUUCUAUCUUCUUCCUUGUGUCAAUGAACAAGUUAAUUGUUCUAGUGACAAAACUAAUUAGUAUUACUACAUUAAUUAAAAAAAAUAGUGAUGAAAGAAUUCGGAGUUGCAUAAUCAUUUACAAAAGAUUGCAUUUUGAACAAUUGUAUUUCUAGUAGGUAUUACUAGGUUUAUGCCAAUCUCAAUUUUUUUGUGCUUGCAACAAGUUCAAGUGUGGAGCAGUAAUUUCCCUGUAUUAAUUUAAAUGACUGAUGUUAAAUCUUGAUAUUUUAUUCUUCUUUUUUAUUUUCUUGUUUCUAACAAGUUGAGUUGUUCCAAUAAUGACACUUGUUGGCUACUUUGUAUUAUUUAUGCAAACACUAAUAUAAACAAUAGACUCAUACUGCCAAAGUCAAGGUGAAGAAGCUGAGAAAGAUUGCCAAAAGGAAGAAGAAGUUCAUGAGACCUGGAUAAAAGCUAAAACUAAACUGGUCAUGUUGCACUCUUUCUUUAUGUUUUCUUAGUAUUUUAUUUCAAUGUUAGAAUUUGAAUGUGGUUUCUUAUGGUUUUUAAUCCAUCUUUUAUUGACAAUGAGAUCAUACCUUGGUGCCACUUUUCAUUGGUUUACUAAAGCUUUAAUCAGUUUUUUAUUUGGAGUAUUACUUAAGCUUAUGAUUGUAAUAACAACAGUAUGUUUUAUUAUUCUCCUUACGAGAAAAUGCAUGUAUCUUUUCCCCAUAUGAGCGGGUCGAAUACGGAUAAUGCAAAAAAUGGAUAAAUUAUUCGAUCCGACUCAUAUUUAAUAAGGAUAGAAAAUGGGUUAAUCGGCGGAUAAUAUGAGUGACCACAUUAUCCAUGAAUUUUUAAAUAUGAUCACUUUUGGGAGAAUUCAUAUUCUCCCAAGCUUGAGUAACCCUCAAUUUUAGUCUUUAUAAAUGUAAAAGUUAAACUCAUUAGUUAUCCAUUUGUUAUCCAUUUUCUAAGUGGAUAAUAUAGUUCUUACCCAUAUUUGAUCUAUUUUUAAAAAAGUUCAUUAUCCAACCCAUUUUUUAGUGGAUAAUAUAGAUGAAUGACUAUUUUUUUUAAUCCGCUUUGCCACCACCAGUGAGAAUGCUUGAUAUAUGUUCUUUAAGAGAAAUCGUUAAUUAAUUAGACAGAUAUAUAUAUUAUUUAUAUGAACUAGAGAAGGUACAACUCAACUUUACACUAAGAAAUAAAGGCAGGAUUUCUUAACGAAAAGUUAUGACUGGGGAAGUAAUUAAUAACAUGAUAAUAGCAGAUAAAAGGAUUGCAAAAUAUUAACAAUUACUAACUUAUUUAUUUAUAUGGGCAAUCAAUACACAAACUGAGAACUUGAAAAGCAUAUAGCAAAGACCAACUAGUGAGGUACUCGUUGGCUUUAGUUAACAAAAAGAGGGGAAAAAAAAGGCAACCCGGUGCUCUAAGCUCCCAUUAUGCGCGAGAUCCGAAAAAGGGUCGGACCAGAAAAGAAUUAAAACAACCCAACUGAAUCAAAGCCAAAGUUAUGGUUAUGAAGAUUAUUUGAAGCAACCAUGUUUCGAGCUGGCUUGAUAUCAUAGUUGUCAAAAAUCCUAUUACCAUUAACACCAAAAUAAGAAGAAGAAUUAGUAGUCUCAACCAUAAACUUGCUUGCCUAAUUUGUCACAUUCUUUUUUAAAACCUCCAUUGAAUCCUUUAAUUGUUCAAGUUCAUGCAAGUCAAGUUUACUUAUUGGAGUUUCCCACCAAUAUUGACUUUGACUAUUUUUCCUUAUUUGAUCAAAUGAUUCUCCUAUUUUCUUCUCAACUUCAAGCUCCGCAAGAAUCUGAGUUAACUGCAAAUUGAGCUCACGAACACUAGCAUUUCGAUGAGCCUCAACAAGAUGAAGUGGUUAAUUAGAAAUUGGAUUAUGAUUUCUUGAGAGGAACCUAUCGACAAUGGACUCAACAUUAGGGUGACCAAAAGAAAAUACUUUUCUAGCAGGUGAAUACACUAUGAUAGCUAUUUCAACACCACAAAGUGUGCAUAGUUCACUAGCUUUCUUAAAAAGACCAGAACGACGUUUUGAGAUUAAGAUUAUAUUAAGAUAAAUGAUGGUGAGUGAGAAAAGGAGAUCUCUGCCAAUAUUGGAGAUGCUAUAUGUAAUUUUAUUUUUGAGUUGUAACCUAAAGACAAUCAUGUAUUGCAUUUACUUUUGAGUUGUAACCUAAGGAGAAGCCAAUUAUGAUAAUAGUUGGAUAAUAAUAGUGUCUUAGCUUGAGAAAUCAGGCGGUGAUAAGUAAGUUUAGAUAUUGACGAGUAAUGAAUCACAAAAGUUAAAUAGCAUAUAUAGAUUAUAAGAUAUGAAAAAAAAUGCAAAAAUUAUGUCGGAAUUUGGGAAUUUUCUUGAAUUAAAUUGCUGUAGACAAAUCAUACGGUUACAAAUAAUAAAGUUAUAUAAGAAUUAAAUAAAGGAAAAUAUGACAUAUUUCUUAAAAUGUAUAUUCACUACCAUUAAGAGGAACAAAUAUGCAAAGUAAUAUAUUGUUAGCAGAAAUGAGCUUAUUAAAAUCUAAAAGGUCGGAAGAAUGAAUGAGGUUUUUUACUGUACUUUUUAAUUUUCUUAAUGAUUUUGUGCUAAUUUAUAGUUAAGGACUAUAGAUGCCAACUCUAUCAUGUUUGCAUUUUUAUCAAAAAUUUAACUUGAUUUCAAGACAGAUAAUCAUAUAAUACGAUAAUUUUUGUAUAUUUUAUAUUAUCUACUGCAAAAUUUAAUUUAUGUAUCCGGGGAGCUUUUUAUAUGACAUCUUUUCUACCUAAAAGGUUUAAAACCCUUCUGCAAUUGCAUUUACCCUCUUUUUCGUUUGUAAUGAUUUUUUGUCUUUUCCGGUGAUCAGAGGCGGAGCUAGACUAUUAUUUACGGGUUCGGACAAAUUCAUUAGUUUUUUAUUAGAUUUAUAUUUGUAUUAAAAAAUUAGUAAAUAUGUAUUAAUAUUUAACUACGAAUCCAGUAACUAAAAUGAGCUGUGGGUUCGAUGAAAAAAUCAAAACCCAUAAACUUCAAAUCUUGACUCCGCCUCUGCCGAUAAUCAAUGUCUUUAUUUAUUUUUACAAGAAUCACUUAAAGGUAAUUGGUUUUUUUUCUGUAUAUAAGAUCAAGAGAAACACCAUCACCACCACCGAGCAAAAUGAAAGCAAAAGAUAAAAGAAAAGUAGCACGUCAAGCAUAGAAGUAUCGAUUUUGAAAAAAUUGUCAAUAUAACAACAACAACAUACCCAGUAAAAUUCCACUAGUGGGGUCUGAGUAGAGUAGAGUGUACGCAGACCUUACCUCUACCCCGAAAAGGGUAAAGAGGUUGUUUCCAGGAGACUCGCGGCUCAACAGGAAAGGUAAUAAUAUCAGAAAAGAAAUAAGAGACAAGACCCGUGACAACAAAAGAUACCAGAAACAAAAUAACCACAGCAAAUAAGUGAAAGGACAAUAACACAAAACUAUACAAAACAACAAUGUGAAUACAACAAAGACCGCUAACAAACCUAAACGAAAUUCUAUCCGACUACCAGUACAAAGAGGGAAUAAAUCUCGACUACCCCCUAGCCUACCACCAUAAUGCUCGACCUCCAUAUGUUCCUAUCAAGAGCCAUGUCCUCGGAAAUUUGAAGCCGCGCCAUGUCCUACCUGAUCACCUCGCCAUAUUCGUCAAUAUAACUAGUUCGAAAUUACUAAAUAAGUAAGAAAACGGUCAU
rnacentral:lncRNA from 1 species